GCAACCCUCGACUUAGUUACCAUCAUUAAGUUGGGUACGUUUAAAGUAACCGCCGGUGAUAAGCCGGAGGAAGGUGGGGAUGACGUCAAGUCCUCAUGGCCCUUACGCGCUGGGCUACACACGUGCUACAAUGGCAAGUACAGUGGGCAGCAAUCCCGCGAGGGUGAGCUAAUCUCCAAAACUUGUCUCAGUUCGGAUUGUUCUCUGCAACUCGAGAGCAUGAAGGCGGAAUCGCUAGUAAUCGCGGAUCAGCAUGCCGCGGUGAAUACGUUCCCAGGCCUU
rnacentral:rRNA from 1 species